rnacentral:rRNA from 15 species
AGAUUGUUCCAGAACAAGCAGUAACACCUUUUCGGAAAAUGCACUGGUUGCAUGUUGCCUCUACAGCGUUUGUAGUAUAAGUAUGGUACUAUCCAAUGAAAGGU